rnacentral:rRNA from 1 species
GACGAACGCUGGCGGCGUGCCUAACACAUGCAAGUCGAGCGAUGAAAUCCCUUCGGGGAUGGAUUAGCGGCGGACGGGUGAGUAACACGUGGGUAACCUGCCUCAAAGAGGGGGAUAACCUCCCGAAAGGGAGAUUAAUACCGCAUAACAUUAGUUUCUCGCAUGAGAGAGUAAUUAAAGGAGUAAUCCGCUUUGAGAUGGACCCGCGGCGCAUUAGCUAGUUGGUGAGGUAAAGGCUCACCAAGGCGACGAUGCGUAGCCGACCUGAGAGGGUGAUCGGCCACAUUGGAACUGAGACACGGUCCAGACUCCUACGGGAGGCAGCAGUGGGGAAUAUUGCACAAUGGGCGAAAGCCUGAUGCAGCAACGCCGCGUGAGUGAUGAAGGCCUUCGGGUUGUAAAGCUCUGUCUUUUGGGACGAUAAUGACGGUACCAAAGGAGGAAGCCACGGCUAACUACGUGCCAGCCGCCGCUGUAAAAC